rnacentral:lncRNA from 1 species
AGUCACGACCCAAUCUCCCAGCUCCUUCCAUCUUUGAUCAAGCUGCAAAACCUCCCUCUUCCCUAGUACACAGCCCAUUUGUGUUCGGACAGCCCCUUUCCUUCCAGCAGCCUCAGCUUCAGAAAUCUCCAUCUCGCAACCUUGCUUCUCGUGAGCGCAUUUACAAAAAUUAUGGUGUAGCUGGGCCUGCCUCUGCUCUCUCAUCUCUGUCUCACAAACUGAAGGGUGAUCGAGGAAACAUCUCAACAUCUUCUAAACCAGCCUCUACAUCAGGAAAAUCAGAGCUGUCCUCUAAACACAGCAGAUCGCUUAAACCUGAUGGACGUAUGAGCCGGACUACUGCUGAUCAGAAGAAGCCAAGGGGCACAGAAAGUUUAUCUGCUAGUGAAUCCCUCAUCUUAAAAUCUGAUGCUGCAAAGUUGAGGUCAGAUUCCCACAGUAGGUCAUUAUCCCCCAACCAUAA